CUUCUUCCAUUCAAAGCUCCAAGUAGUGAAAAAAGGGAAGAUGGGUCUUUUACAUCACUCAUAACCAUCAAUUUUAUUAAGCAGUAAAUGGUUGUUAACCUUGUUGCUAUCUGGGAGAGUGCUUUGGAAAGAUACUCCAUCAGAAAACAACCAACAAUUAAUUGCUUAAUUACAGCGCAUGUCAAUGCUGCUCCUGCGGGCCAUCCAGUUGGUGAGAUGUACGAGUUCCCUCCUCUGAGGAUAUAAACAGCCUGACUGUGAUGAACAAGAGAUAGUUGGAAAAGGUCACAAUGCAUUUUCAAAUCCUACCAAUUAAGUACCUCAUCAUAUUGAGAUGGAAAACCAUGGGUGACGACUCUUUUAGCAUAGUGAAUUGCCCAUCUUAUAUCAUCAGCAGUCCCGUUUCGAGUUCUGCCUCUUCAUCACACUCACAAGUGGAAACCUAAGAGCUGGCAAUACAUUAAUCUUACAUUCAUCACACGGAAUGUUCAACACCAUUUGGGUCUAACAUACCUGAAGAUGGCUGAGAUCUGAAGAGAAAAUCGCAUUGCCAAACAUGAACUGGAACUGGAAAGGUUGGAACAGAUGACCCAUUCUAUUUGCUGUUGGCAGCUAAGACUUCAUUAAUAAAGAAAUGUCAGUUUACCCAA